rnacentral:rRNA from 1 species
UGCCAGCCGCCGCGGUAAUACGGAGGGUGCAAGCGUUGUUCGGAAUUAUUGGGCGUAAAGCGCGUGUAGGCGGUUCGUUAAGUCUGAUGUGAAAGCCCGGGGCUCAACCCCGGAAGUGCAUUGGAAACUGGCAGUCUUGAGUAUGGGAGAGGUGAGUGGAAUUCCGAGUGUAGAGGUGAAAUUCGUAGAUAUUCGGAGGAACACCAGUGGCGAAGGCGGCUCACUGGCUCGAUACUGACGCUGAGGUGCGAAAGUGUGGGGAGCAAACAGGAUUAGAUA